rnacentral:rRNA from 1 species
UACGUAGGGUGCAAGCGUUGUCCGGAAUUAUUGGGCGUAAAGAGCUCGUAGGCGGUCUGUCGCGUCUGCUGUGAAAACUCAGGGCUUAACCCUGAGCUUGCAGUGGGGUACGGGGCAGACUAGAGUGCGGUAGGGGGAGACUGGAAUUCCUGGUGUAGCGGUGAAAUGCGCAGAUAUCAGGGAGGAACACCGGUGGGCGAAAGGCGGGGACUCUGGG